rnacentral:rRNA from 1 species
UAGGGAAUAUUGGUUAAUGUGCGAAAGCGCGAACCAGCAACGCCGCGUGUGCGAUGAAGGCCUUCGGGUCGUAAAGCACUUUUUGCAGGGAAGAGGAAGGACGGUACCUGCAGAAUAAGUCUCGGCUAACUACGUGCCAGCAGCCGCGGUAAAACGUAGGAGACGAGCGUUAUCCGGAUUUACUGGGCGUAAAGCGCGUGCAGGCGGCAUGGCAAGUUGGAUGUGAAAGCUCCCGGCUUAACUGGGAGAGGUCGUUCAAUACUGCCAGGAUUGAGAGUGGUAGAGGGAAGCGGAAUUCCGGGUGUAGUGGUGAAAUGCGUAGAUAUCAGGAGGAACACCAGUGGCGAAAGCGGCUUCCUGGGCCAUUUCUGACGCUCAGACGCGAAAGCUAGGGUAGCAAACGG